GGACAGUACAGACCCAUCUCGAUCUUUUCUUUUCACUUAGCUUGAUUUUCAAUUUUUAGCACAAGAUUUUGCAAGUUGUCCAAGCAAGUGUAUAACUCAAAGCAUGAGACAUAGCAACCUAGCAUAUAAAUGAUAGCUCAAGUGAUCUCAACACAUCCUACACAUGCUAGUUGCCAAUGACAAUGGUGAACAAUUUUCAGGUUUCAACAGGUUUAUGUCAAGUUCACUAGUUGUAAAAUAGCUUAGCUCAUAACAUGCAUCAAGUGAUCAAAAGGAGCAUAAGCGACAAGCACCAUCAUGUACAUACAAGACAUAUCACAAAGAGCAUAAUCUCAAUCUAACAACUAUAAUCAUGAAGCUCAAAAUGCUCUAAUAUACAUGAUGAGAUGAAAUGCAAUGCAAUAUGAUACAAAAAUAAAAUAAAAGCUAAACUAAAAGAAAAAGAAACUAGAAUACAAGAACCAAAGUUCCCCUCCACUAAAAAGGGAAACAAACUCCAAGCUCCCCUCGCAAGCGAGCAAACUGGGCUUGGUCAAGGGGUUUGGUAAAGAUGUCUGCAAGCUGGUUUUGGGUAUCAACAUGGUGUAGGUCAAUAUCUCCUUUCUCAUAGUGGUCACGCAGGAAGUGAAAGUGAACAUCUAUAUGCUUGGUUUUUGAGUGGAGAACUGGGUUUUUAGCAACGCUUAUGGCACUGGUUCUAUCACAAAGCAAAGGCACUCGCCUAAACUCUAACCCAAAGUCUCUCAAAGUAGCUAUCAUCCAAAGCAACUGGGAGCAGCAAGCAGCAGCAGCAACAUACUCGGCUUCU
rnacentral:lncRNA from 1 species